UAGGUGAGGCAAAGAGCCCAGCAGGUUC
rnacentral:piRNA from 1 species